UAAAAAUGAUGUAUAACUCAGAGGGUUGC
rnacentral:piRNA from 1 species